ACGCUCGACACCUACUGGAGGCAGCAGUUGGGAAUAUUGGACAAUGGAGGAAACUCUGAUCCAGUGACGCCGCGUGAAGGAAGAAGGUCUUCGGAUUGUAAACUUAUUUUGUCAGGGAAGAAAAAUGACUGUACCUGAAGAAAAAGCACCGGCUAACUACGUGCCAGCAGCCGCGGUAAUACUGAGCGGGCGUGCGAAGC
rnacentral:rRNA from 1 species